UACGAAGGGGGCUAGCGUUGCUCGGAAUCACUGGGCGUAAAGGGUGCGUAGGCGGGUCUUUAAGUCAGGGGUGAAAUCCUGGAGCUCAACUCCAGAACUGCCCUUGAUACUGAGGAUCUUGAGUUCGGGAGAGGUGAGUGGAACUGCGAGUGUAGAGGUGAAAUUCGUAGAUAUUCGCAAGAACACCAGUGGCGAAGGCGGCUCACUGGCCCGGUACUGACGCUGAGGCACGAAAGCGUGGGGAGCAAACAGG
rnacentral:rRNA from 1 species